UACAGGGGGGGCAAGCGUUGUUCGGAAUUACUGGGCGUAAAGGGCUCGUAGGCGGCCGACUAAGUCCGACGUGAAAUCCCAAAGCUUAACUUUGGAACUGCGUCGGAUACUGGAUGGCUUGAAUUCGGGAGAGGGAUGCAGAAUUCCAGGUGUAGCGGUGAAAUGCGUAGAUAUCUGGAGGAAUACCGGGUGGCGAAGGCGGCAUCCUGGACCGACAUUGACGCUGAGGAGCGAAAGCUAGGGGAGCAAACGGGG
rnacentral:rRNA from 1 species